rnacentral:lncRNA from 1 species
GAUGAAUCAAGUGUGACUUAUAUUAUUGAAAGGGUUGAUAAAUCUUCCACAACAAGAUCUCAAAAACUUAUUCACAAUAAGUUUUUAGAUGUUGUAAAUUGUAAUUGUCAACAGUUCGAAUGUGAAGGGAUUCCAUGCAGACAUAUGUUGGCGUACUUUAGGAUCAAACAAAUAUUGCAAUUGCCAACUCAAUAUAUUCUUCCAAGGUGGACCAAAAGUGCAAAGAUUGGUCAAGUAUGGGACAUGGGAAAUGAGGAACUAAAUUACAUUGCAAACCAAUCAUUGAUGUUAAGACAUUCUAAACUAUCUCAGUCGUCCUCUGUCGUGGUUGAUGAUGCAUCUCUCACCGAGGAAAGAGAUAACCUCUUGGUGAAUGCAUUGGAGGAUCUUCACAAAAAAGUAAAGGAGAUUAACAUCAACAAUGGUAUUAAACAGGUAUCCAUAGGACAAACAAGUAUUGAAGAGCAUGUGAGUGUCAAUGAACCACAACAAGUAAGAGUAAAGGGGUGUGGAAAAAGAUUAAAAAAAUCAAAAGAGAUGGCAGUGAGUAAGGAGAGAGUUUGUCAUGGAUGUGUAAUUCGUGGCCAAUCACACGAUAAGCGAAAUUGUCCAAAAUUACUCGAAAGGUAUUUUCUUUUUUUAUCAUAACCUACCUUGGAUUUAUUAAUUUCGUUAGUAAUGUGUUAGUACAAUUAUGUUUCAAAUCCUCUGGGUCCAAAUGAUGAAGUUCCCUAUGAUUUCAUAUUACAAAAUUCAUGUAAGUCAUUGUAUCUUCAUUUGUCAUAACUUAUCUAGGUGUUGUAUUUGUAAUAACAUUCAUGUAGGUGGAUUAAUUAACCUUUGAUUACUUAACAUGUGGAAGCAUCUUUGUUUCUGGAUGGAUGCAGGUGUAUUACCUACAGUAAUGAGAAAUUAUAGCAUGUUUUGGGGUGUGGCUCGUAGCUUUGAGACUCGUAGAUGAACAAGUUCUCAUCAGCAAUCCAUCUGAGAGUUGCCUGGUAUUCUAAGCAGUCUUUAUAGUCUUUUUUCUUUUUUAAUUUUUUUCUUUUUGGUUUUUUGGGAUAAGGAACCAGUCUUUAUAGUCAUUUUUCGCAUGAAGGCUUUGAGAAGAUUACAGCUGGAAUUUAUUCUGUUUUAAGCAAUUCAAGAUUGUGGUCAGACUUUGUAAUUCUACUUUUCUUACCAUCUGAAGUUGUGAUUUCAGUUACCACUAUGUAAUUCUUUUUUUUUUUUUUUCCUUGAAAGGCCUUAUAGGUGCACAAUUUUCAUUUUCACAAAGGAGUGACGUCAAGACCUUAACUCAUGAUCUUUGCCUUGUUGAUAUGAUGUUGAACCCUCUCAUGAAAAAGCUAGUAUGUUAGAGUGGAGACAAUUAUUUUCUUGCUGUAGAUGUACAUAAAUAGGAAGAUUACUCCAUAUAUGGUGAUUUCAACUUUUCUUGGCCUAAUUGGUCUGGCUAAGUUGGAUGGUGAUUUAACAGAUCAGCUAGAGCCUUUUCAAUAUGAUUUAACAGAUUACUCAAUAUAUGGUGAUUUUAAUAUGAUGUAGUCUUCAUAUCAGUAAGUAGCAGUGGACUCGACUGAAAGACGAGAUUUUAACUUCUUUUUCAUCUAAUCCAAUUUACAAAGGUACCAAGAGAACACAUGGAAAGAUAAUUGAAGAAUGAAAACUACAAUAACAAUCAAGUUUUUACCUCCUUGCGAUCUUCCAUAUGGUUUCAGCUAAAGAAAAUCUUGGAGUUUCUUGAGUUACAGAUGCUCUUUUUUUAAAAAUGGACUCUGAACUUGAGUGAUAAUUUUCU